rnacentral:rRNA from 1 species
GACGAACGCUGGCGGCGUGCUUAACACAUGCAAGUCGAACGGAAAGGCCCUGCUUUUGUGGGGUGCUCGAGUGGCGAACGGGUGAGUAACACGUGAGUAACCUGCCCUUGACUUUGGGAUAACUUCAGGAAACUGGGGCUAAUACCGGAUAGGAGCUCCUGCUGCAUGGUGGGGGUUGGAGAGUUUCGGCGGUUGGGGAUGGACUCGCGGCUUAUCAGCUUGUUGGUGGGGUAGUGGCUUACCAAGGCUUUGACGGGUAGCCGGCCUGAGAGGGUGACCGGCCACAUUGGGACUGAGAUACGGCCCAGACUCCUACGGGAGGCAGCAGUGGGGAAUAUUGCACAAUGGGCGGAAGCCUGAUGCAGCAACGCCGCGUGCGGGAUGACGGCCUUCGGGUUGUAAACCGCUUUCGCCUGUGACGAAGCGUGAGUGACGGUAAUGGGUAAAGAAGCACCGGCUAACUACGUGCCAGCAGCCGCGGUGAUACGUAGGGUGCGAGCGUUGUCCGGAUUUAUUGGGCGUAAAGGGCUCGUAGGUGGUUGAUCGCGUCGGAAGUGUAAUCUUGGGGCUUAACCCUAAGCGUGCUUUCGAUACGGGUUGACUUGAGGAAGGUAGGGGAGAAUGGAAUUCCUGGUGGAGCGGUGGAAUGCGCAGAUAUCAGGAGGAACACCAGUGGCGAAGGCGGUUCUCUGGGCCUUUCCUGACGCUGAGGAGCGAAAGCGUGGGGAGCGAACAGGCUUAGAUACCCUGGUAGUCCACGCUGUAAACGGUGGGUACUAGGUGUGGGGUCCAUUCCACGGGUUCCGUGCCGUAGCUAACGCUUUAAGUACCCCGCCUGGGGAGUACGGCCGCAAGGCUAAAACUCAAAGGAAUUGACGGGGCCCCGCACAAGCGUCGGAGCAUGCGGAUUAAUUCGAUGCAACGCGUAGAACCUUACCUGGGUUUGACAUGGAUCGGGAGUGCUCAGAGAUGGGUGUGCCUCUUUUGGGGUCGGUUCACAGGUGGUGCAUGGCUGUCGUCAGCUCGUGUCGUGAGAUGUUGGGUUAAGUCCCGCAACGAGCGCAACCCUUGUUCACUGUUGCCAGCACGUUAUGGUGGGGACUCAGUGGAGACCGCCGGGGUCAACUCGGAGGAAGGUGGGGAUGACGUCAAGUCAUCAUGCCCCUUAUGUCCAGGGCUUCACGCAUGCUACAAUGGCUGGUACAGAGAGUGGCGAGCCUGUGAGGGUGAGCGAAUCUCGGAAAGCCGGUCUCAGUUCGGAUUGGGGUCUGCAACUCGACCUCAUGAAGUCGGAGUCGCUAGUAAUCGCAGAUCAGCAACGCUGCGGUGAAUACGUUCCCGGG